rnacentral:rRNA from 1 species
UAGCUAGUUGGUGAGGUAACGGCUUACCAAGGCGACGAUCUGUAGCGGGUCUGAGAGGAUGAUCCGCCACACUGGAACUGAGACACGGUCCAGACUCCUACGGGAGGCAGCAGUGGGGAAUUUUGGACAAUGGGGGCAACCCUGAUCCAGCCAUGCCGCGUGAGUGAAGAAGGCCUUCGGGUUGUAAAGCUCUUUCGGCCGGGAAGAAAUCGCAUGGGCCAAUACCCUGUGUGGAUGACGGUACCGGAAUAAGAAGCACCGGCUAACUACGUGCCAGCAGCCGCGGUAAUACGUAGGGUGCGAGCGUUAAUCGGAAUUACUGGGCGUAAAGCGUGCGCAGGCGGUUUUGUAAGACAGGCGUGAAAUCCCCGGGCUCAACCUGGGAAUUGCGUUUGUGACUGCAAGGCUAGAGUACGGCAGAGGGGGGUGGAAUUCCACGUGUAGCAGUGAAAUGCGUAGAGAUGUGGAGGAACACCAAUGGCGAAGGCAGCCCCCUGGGUCGAUACUGACGCUCAUGCACGAAAGCGUGGGUAGCAAACAGGAUUAGAUACCCUGGUAGUCCACGCCCUAAACUAUGUCAACUAGGUGUUGGGUGGGUAAAACCAUUUAGUACCGUAGCUAACGCGUGAAGUUGACCGCCUGGGGAGUACGGCCGCAAGGUUAAAACUCAAAGGAAUUGACGGGGACCCGCACAAGCGGUGGAUGAUGUGGAUUAAUUCGAUGCAACGCGAAAAACCUUACCUACCCUUGACAUGCCAGGAACUUGCCAGAGAUGGCUUGGUGCCCGAAAGGGAGCCUGGACACAGGUGCUGCAUGGCUGUCGUCAGCUCGUGUCGUGAGAUGUUGGGUUAAGUCCCGCAACGAGCGCAACCCUUGUCGUUAAUUGCCAUCAUUUAGUUGGGCACUUUAGCGAGACUGCCGGUGACAAACCGGAGGAAGGUGGGGAUGACGUCAAGUCCUCAUGGCCCUUAUGGGUAGGGCUUCACACGUCAUACAAUGGUCGGUACAAAGGGUCGCCAAGCCGCGAGGUGGAGCCAAUCCCAGAAAGCCGAUCGUAGUCCGGAUUGCAGGCUGCAACUCGCCUGCAUGAAGUCGGAAUCGCUAGUAAUCGUGGAUCAGCAUGUCGCGGUGAAUACGUUCCCGGGUCUUGUACACACCGCCCGUCACACCAUGGGAGCGGGUUCCGCCAGAAGUAGGUAGCCUAACCGCAAGGAGGGCGCUUACCACGGCGGGGUUCGUGACUGGGGUGAAGUCGUAACAAGGUAGCCGUAGGGGAUCCUGCGGCUG